rnacentral:rRNA from 1 species
UACGAAGGGGGCGAGCGUUGUUCGGAAUCACUGGGCGUAAAGCGUGCGUAGGCGGUUCGUUAAGUCUGUUGUGAAAGCCCCGGGCUCAACCUGGGAAUGGCAAUGGAUACUGGCGAGCUAGAGUGUGUCAGAGGAUGGUGGAAUUCCCGGUGUAGCGGUGAAAUGCGUAGAGAUCGGGAGGAACAUCAGUGGCGAAGGCGGCCAUCUGGGACAACACUGACGCUGAGGCACGAAAGCGUGGGGAGCAA